CCCUUAGAUGUUCUGGGCCGCACGCGCGCUACACUGAUGCAUUCAACGAGUCUAAAACCUGCUCUGAUAGGGGUGGGUAAUCUUUUGAAUGUGCAUCGUGAUUGGGAUAGAUGAUUGCAAUUUUUCAUCUUCAACGAGGAAUGCCUAGUAAACGCAAGUCAUCAGCUUGCAUUGAUUACGUCCCUGCCCUUUGUACACACCGCCCGUCGCUCCUACCGAUUGAAUGAUCCGAUGAAUAUCAUGGAUUGAUGAUGCAAGUAGGUUCGCCUAUCUUCAUCUUCGAGAAGUGAAGUAAAUCUUAUCAUUUAGAGGAAGGAGAAGUCGUAACA
rnacentral:rRNA from 1 species